UAUAAUCCUAAAUACAUAACUGCUGAGUUAUGUCAACUCCUGAUAGAAAAUUACUAUGCUAGUUUACAGACCCACAAAUAUUUCAGGAGUGUUGCCACAGUGGUGCCAGUAUGUGUCCUUCACUCGGAGUUGAAAAGUCUAGUUCCUGUUCUCAACAUGGAUACCAAUGGUCAAAAAAUGUUUCUGCCAUUUUCAGAAGAGGACAGUUUAUUCACAUCUGGGGCAUUACAUCAGAAGUGCAUCACAUUCCAGCGGCUACAACCCAUGUUAUCGGAAGAGAACUACAGACUGUGAAGUUACAACAGAUACAAACAAGUUAAUUACAUAAGCCUACCGCUAGGAUAUGGCGUUUCACAGAGGG